CUUAUGUCACUCAGGGGGGUGUUUUGUCACACCCCAUGAACAACAUAAGUUAUAUUGACAGAAAUGCUAGAGUAGACAUAGCCUUAGACUCCAAAAGACCUUUGUUGGCCUAGCCACUUUUAUUCAGGGAGUGAAGUUAUUCCUAUAUUUUUAAAAGUGCAUUGAGAUCCUUCAGAAUGAAAUCUGCUGUAUAUAACCAUAGGGCAUAUUACACCUCUGCCACAAUAUCUUUUGAGACUGUUGGUUUUGGCUCACUGAUUUCUGCAGCUUUGGCAGGAGACAGUGGGGAUCAAAGUACAUUCUGUCCUUGCUCAGACUGGGAACCUCUAAGUGACUCUGCAGGUUGGAUUAAGGACUCCAUGUACUGUGAUAGUUGUACCAUAAUUCAACUGGCUGUCCACCUGUGUGUAGCAUGUUUUCCCAUCAAUUCAAACUCUUGUUUCAUACAUGGCUGUGAACUCAGAACCAUGUACAGUAUUACAUGAUUUUCUCCAAGCUAUCUGAGCUGAGGCGUAAAUUUAUUUCUAUACAGCAAAUGUAAAAUCUGGUUUGAAAAAGUAAAAUGUAUCCUGGGUAAGUCCUUGGUGGUGGUGGUGGUUGUGUUGUUGUUGGUUUUUUUUUUUUUUUUUUUAGAGUAAUUGGGGCUGCUUUUAACUCGGAAUCAUAAUUAUCUGUCUGAGAAUCCACUACAAUUAAAAAUUGAUUGAUUAAAAACAAAAACAACUUAUUUAAAAAUACAACCCAGAAAAUUCAGGGCUGGUUAUAGCUAACUAUGGCUGUCAGCCAUAGCACCUUGUUCUUUGAUCCUGUCAGACCUCACAAGCCGAGCAAGGUCAGGCCAGGUCAGGGCUUGAAUCUCAACAUAUCCAGUAGGUGGCAUUCUUCUCUCUGAGUCUCUUCUGAACCAAUGGCUCGGUAUAGUGCUGCUGGAUAUAUGUAUUAUUCUGGCCAAGUUCCAUCAAAGGAUUUUUAUAUGGCCUGCCUACCUAAAAUAUCCUCCCAAAUUUUAUUCUUCUCAAAAUUCUUCUCUUCCUAAACAUCCAUCUCUAAUCCCUUAUAUUGUUUGUAACAAUGGUGUCUGAGUGCCUGUUGUUUAGUAUUGCUUGGCAUUCUUAAACGCGGGUCACAUUUAAUGUGAGUGGUAGCUGUGUUUCAGUGGUAGCUGAGGUGUUUCUUGUAUAUGUAAUUGUAUUUCAAUUUACUCGGAAACAUUUUGGUAUCCUCUGUGGUACGAGGCAUUACAUAUAGUAAAUGUAAGAUUAUUAUCCUUUUCGUGUUUAAAUUAUAUUAGGCAGAAAACAGAGUAGGAUUAAAUAAUCAAAUUUAAUCAUGGUAAAAGUUUAAUAGUGGGGCGCAUCACGGUUUCAUACUAGAUCCAGUGUUGUCUAAUUAUCUUUGUUAUUGAUCCGGAAAGGGUGAGUAGCAAGGUAGCAAAAGGUGCAAAUGAGACAAAGCUAUUUAGGGCAGUUGGAACCAGACAAGACUGUGGUGAACUUGGACAGAUCUAAACAAGCUAGGUGAAUAGGUAACAGAAUGGCAAGCGAAGUUCAGUGUUCAUAAAUGCAGAGUAAUGAACUUUGGAGGAAUACAUUUAACUAUUCAUACCCCUCAGAGUUCUACAUUAACGGUAUCCGUGCAUGAAAGGGACCUGGGAGUCAUUGUAGACAGCUCAAUGAAAACUUCUGCUCAAUGUGCAGCUGCAGUCAAGAAAGCAAACAAGAUGUUAAGAUGAAUAAGGAAUGGAAAUUCUCAGGUUUCUAAAGCUCCUGGCAUCAUGGACAUUUCCAGACCACCCCACAUUAAUGUUGGUGAACUGUCCAUGCUGAUCAACCAGGCCUUGCAGCCCCAGGAUGAAAUAACUUUGAACUCCACGGUCUGGUGCUGGAGGGUGAAGAUGCAAAGAACAGGCACCUGGAUCCCCUCAAUGACCACAAAAGAAUUUGUAAACUCCAACUGUGCAAAACCAUUCACCUUCCGUGCAUUGCCUAGCCUUAGGAAUCAGGGGCAAAGCACUUCCUUGAUAGCUGCGCAAACCUCCAUGGCAACAGCCUCAGUGGUUGAUCGUACCAACACCAAACUAGUUAGUUACUGAUCAAUAGUAGUUGGGGAUGGCUAACUUCCAGAUGGUACUAGCUGUACACUUCUCCACACUGAGGGCAACUCUCACAUGGGUGUCCCGCCACUGCAGCCUUGGCAUGAGCUCUGCACAGGUUUGUACGAAAGUGGCUUUUGACAUCCUGAAAUUCUGCCAGCACUGCUGGUCAUCCCAGGUCUAUAGCACUGUUCUGUCCCACUAGUCAGUGCUAGUUGUCCAAGUCCAAAAGUGGCACUCUAAGUGAAGGCGCUUCUGGAAAAUAUCUUGGAGAAGUGUUUCCUGGAUGUCAGCCUGUGUUUUUCAGAUGGCCUGCUUCUGAAGUCAUGAAGCAUGACUGUAGACAUGCUUGCUGCAGCCUGUUUAUAUUCAUCAUCCCGAGGAUUGCAGUGCUCGCCAAUGUUUCUUCCAUGCUGCCUAUCAGCACUUUGAAAACGGCAUUGACUUGCAAAACCCAAAUGGAUGAUGGGAUGAAAAGAGAGAGAUCAUGGGAAUGUAGUUUGAUGCCUCCCCCUUUCCCCAAACUUCAGAAUUCCAUUGUCUUCCAGUAGGUAUCCUACAAUGUGCAGGGUGGGAAAUGCCAAAAUACAUACACCACAGCAGUGGAGCAGUGCACCAUGGGAUGUCUGAUCAGAAUGCUGAGCACUUGUUUUGAACCAUAACUGUUGUGUGGCAGCGAUAAUAUGAGGCAAAAGUACCUUAAUCUCAGGAUAACAAUACCUAUACCAGGGAUCUCAAACUCAAAUGACCACAAGGGUCACGUGAGGACUAGCACAUUGGCCCGAGGGCCGCAUCACUGACACGCAUCACUGACACACAUCCCCCACCGCUGCCCCUGGCCCUGCUCCCACUCCACCCCUUCCAUGAGGCCCUGCCCCGCCUCUUCCCACCCCUUCCCCAAAGUCCCCACCCCAACUUUGCCCCCUCCCUGCCCCUAUUCCAACUCCUUCCCCAAAUCCCCACCCCUGCCCUGCAUCGUCUUCGCCUCCUCCCUGAGCAUGCGGCUCCCUGCUUCUCCCCCCUCCUUCCUGGAAAGCACUAAGCUCCGCCAAACAGCUGUUUGGCGGCGGGAAGCACCUGGAGGUAGGCAGAGGAGCGGGGUCAUGGUGCGCUGGAGGGUGAGGGGGGACAGGUAAGGGGAGCUUGGCGGCCGCAGGAAAUAACUUGGGGUGGGCGCAGGGAGCUUGGCGGGCCGCAGCAAAUAACUCCGCGUGCCACAUGUGGCCAGCGGCCGCGUGUUUGAGACCCCUGGCCUAUCCGCUACUCAUACAAAGCUUGUUGCAGAUCGCUUAAUACAGAUUCACAAAACCCUGAUACUUGCUGUGUCUCCUUACAGCGAUAUUGUGAGAUGAAUAGUGUAAUAUUUGUACAGCAUGCAGCACGUAAAAUACAUUUUCAUCUCCUGCUCUUGAGUCCAGUGUAUGGCACUAGAUCCUUCAGGUUUAAAAUACAAUUAGUGAUUAAGAAACUUUGGGUUUCUUCUGUGAUAUCUUUGUCCCAAGAUGUUCAGAGUCCUUAAAUAUUGUGGACAAACUUUAUUAUACAUAGUUGUGGAGCCUUGAUUUGAAUUCUUACGUAUUUUCUUAGCUACUGUUAUCCUUAAGGUAGGGACGGUUCCAAAGUGCCUGGCACAUGGCGAUGCUACCGUAAACAAAUAGAAGCGUAAAGCACUAUAAAAGUGUUAAGUUUCUGAGCCUCUACAAGCCCCAGGUGGCACGUUUCACAUAUGGUAGAGAAGAAUUCAGGGUGAAAGGUUUUCCUCUUCACAGCUCAUGUUUGAUUUGAUCCUGUAGCGAAGUUAAAAGGGUGAAUUUCUUACAUCAAAUUCACUUUGAAGGCAGCAGAUGGUGAAGUCACAGAAUUGGGACUAAACCAGCAGGUUAGAUCAGAAGGGCAGUGAAAUGAGGAAGAGAUCACUCAGAUACAAACAGUCCAGUUGUAAAGGAAAUACAGAAGCUGAACUGGCACCAUAAACUGCUUUGUCAGUCAGAUUUUUUUUUUAUCUUAAAAGUGCCUGGAACAUCUAGAGCAAACAGUUAUCUGAUUGGUUUUAGCUUCUUAGAGAGUGGACCGCUUAUCACAUACACCCUUCCUGGGAGUUGAGGGAAGACAGAAUUUCUGAGAUGCCUUAAAGGGAUACUUCCCAUU